UACGUAGGGGGCGAGCGUUGUCCGGAUUUAUUGGGCGUAAAGAGCUCGUAGGCGGUUUGGUAAGUCGGGUGUGAAAUCUCCACGCUCAACGUGGAGGGGCCACUCGAUACUGCCAUGACUCGAGUCCGGUAGAGGAGUGUGGAAUUCCCGGUGUAGCGGUGAAAUGCGCAGAUAUCGGGAAGAACACCCGUGGCGAAGGCGGUUCUCUGGGACGGUACUGACGCUGAGACGCGAAAGCGUGGGGAGCGAACAGG
rnacentral:rRNA from 1 species